GAUGAACGCUCGCUACAGGCUUAACACAUGCAAGUCGAGGGGAAACGACAUCGAAAGCUUGCUUUUGAUGGGCGUCGACCGGCGCACGGGUGAGUAACGCGUAUCCAACCUGCCCAUCACUUGGGAAUAACCUUGCGAAAGUAAGACUAAUACCCAAUGACAUCCCACGAAGACAUCUGAAUGGGAUUAAAGAUUUAUCGGUGAUGGAUGGGGAUGCGUCUGAUUAGCUUGUUGGCGGGGUAACGGCCCACCAAGGCAACGAUCAGUAGGGGUUCUGAGAGGAAGGUCCCCAACAUUGGAACUGAGACACGGUCCAAACUCCUACGGGAGGCAGCAGUGAGGAAUAUUGGUCAAUGGGCGAGAGCCUGAACCAGCCAAGUAGCGUGCAGGAUGACGGCCCUAUGGGUUGUAAACUGCUUUUAUAAGGGAAUAAAGUGGGUCUCGUGAGACUUUUUGCAUGUACCUUAUGAAUAAGGACCGGCUAAUUCCGUG
rnacentral:rRNA from 1 species